UGUUUUUUGCUUGAUUCUAAUGUCCAAGGGAAUUUGGGUUUCUAUAUGACAUUCUUGUCUAUUGGAUUGCAGCUUAUUGGUCAGAUCUUUUCAACUCUUAACUUUUAAAUUUAUGCUUAGGAUUAGUCUCUUAAUCUCCUCCCCACUUCUUUAAUUUCAAAAUCUCACCCUCCUUUUAAAAACUUCUUUGUUUUUACUUUUU
rnacentral:lncRNA from 1 species